UUUUCUUUUUACUUUUUAUUGGUACAUUUUCCCCCCUUUUAAAGAUAUUGAGAUUAAAAAUGUCCAAGCCUGUUCAGAGAAGAAAACCUUCUCAAAAUAAAUAAGAAACAAGAAAGGAAGUCAGCUAUAGUGCACCAUCUGCUGCCAGUCCUCUUGUAAAAUAUGUUCCAGUUAACAGAGAGUACAUUUACAGCAACACUUUGUCACUGUUCACUCUCAUCUGCUUACAUACUAAACAAAUACCAUCUUGGCACAAAGACAGACAUAUGUUCAAAGAAGGAAGAGCCAUUUGUCAUAGCGUCAUCUGAGUUUAUGAAGGAGAGAGCCGCCACCUCAGCUGAAUUAAACCCCUAGAACCCCUCUGCUUUUGAAGAAAACCCAUCACUUACUGCCUCCCAGACAAUCCUGUCAACAAGCACUCUGGUUCUGGAGGUCCAUACUGUAUUUUGGUCUGUGCACCUGACUACAGUAUCUCUGAGGAUAGCUUCACCAACCACUCAUAUCCUAGCCUAUGAACUGGUACGUGACUCUCUCCUCCAGAACCACCAGCCACCACACACAAGCUUUUAUGGGAGCUCAUCUGAAUGACCAGUUUGUUUUCUUCACCCUUCACAAAUCUUGUUCCUAAAGUGUCUGGUCUGAAAUCAAUAAGCUGAAGACACUUGAAGCUUCUCAGGAUCAACAAUUGGCCAAAAUAUCGCUGGAAGUCGGCAGCCAGAUGCUAGCCUGCAAAAGAGGAGACCUUCCCUAGAUUUCUUCACCCUUGCAGGGUGUUCACAUGGAAAGUUCUUACAUAAAACAGCAGGUCCACAUUUGCCAGACUGAAAAUCACUUUAGUUUCAAACUGAAGCUUAGAAACCUAUUUUGGCUAGGUUGUAGAGCACUUUAAAUAUACCAAGUGCUACAUGAAGUGCCAAGUAUUGGAAAACUACUAAUGCAGCCAAGAACAGAUGCUAGACGCCAGCUUUUCCAAGCUAAGCACAGGACUAUGUUGGUAUGGCCUCACAUUUAGAAAUAUCAGAUGUGUCCACAGGCACAAGGCCAGCCCCACACAGUGGUGCAAUCAGUGUAUAUUAAUACUUUCUGUACCCAGUUCAGAGACUUGCAUAGAUUGCAUACCUUGAAGAUGGAAUUCCAGCCAAAAGGAUUAGCAAAUGGAUUAUAAGUAACUCCAAAUAUUUGUUAUUUUAUUAAAUAUGCCUGCUCUCAGCUGGCAUCUCAUUCUGAAUAUCAGCAAGCAUUAAAACUGAGAAACAUUUUGUUAGUGUUCAAUUUCCUACUGAGAGUUCAAAAUGUAUUUUUAAAUUUAAGGCAGGUUGGGGUUUUUGUGGCUUUAUUUGUAAAAAAAAAAAAAAAAGAAAAAAAAGAAAAAUUAAAAACUGCAUAGUUCCAGGUUUUCUCCACUCUCAGCUGAAAGGAACAAUUUUUCUGGUACCUCCAAACCUUGGGACAGAAUUAUCAUACUUGUUUUUUUUCUGAGUAGGAAAUGCAUCCAAAGUAAAGUGGCAAAGCUUGAGUGUCCUUUCAUAUGGACGCAAACCAAAAGCAAUUCCAGUACAGAGAAUAAAAAAGUCCUGAAAAACUGAAUCUCUCCACAGGGUUUGUAAAUGUGGGGUUUCAUCCAUGAACUCAAGUUGAAAGGUUC
ensembl:lncRNA